UACGAAGGGGGCUAGCGUUGCUCGGAAUCACUGGGCGUAAAGCGCACGUAGGCGGCUUUUUAAGUCAGGGGUGAAAUCCUGGAGCUCAACUCCAGAACUGCCUUUGAUACUGAGAGGCUUGAGUCCGGGAGAGGUGAGUGGAACUGCGAGUGUAGAGGUGAAAUGCGUAGAUAUUGGGAGGAACACCAGUGGCGAAGGCGGCUCACUGGACCGGAACUGACGCUGAGGCGCGAAAGCGUGGGGAGCAAACGGG
rnacentral:rRNA from 1 species